rnacentral:rRNA from 1 species
UUAACGGAGAGUUUGAUCCUGGCUCAGGACGAACGCUGGCGGCGUGCUUAACACAUGCAAGUCGAACGAUGAAGCCGAGCUUGCUCGGUGGAUUAGUGGCGAACGGGUGAGUAACACGUGAGCAACCUGCCCCUAACUCUGGGAUAACGCUUCGAAAGGAGUGCUAAUACCGGAUAUGAGCCUGGAGGACAUCCUCUGGGUUGGAAAGUUUUUCGGUUAGGGAUGGGCUCGCGGCCUAUCAGCUUGUUGGUGAGGUAAAAGCUCACCAAGGCGACGACGGGUAUCCGGCCUGAGAGGGCGACCGGACACACUGGGACUGAGACACGGCCCAGACUCCUACGGGAGGCAGCAGUGGGGAAUAUUGCGCAAUGGGCGAAAGCCUGACGCAGC